rnacentral:rRNA from 1 species
CCCUUAGAUGUUCUGGGCCGCACGCGCGUUACACUGAUGCAUUCAACGAGUUUCUUCCUGGUCCGAGAGGAAUGGGUAACCUUUUGAAAGUGCAUCGUGAUAGGGAUAGACUAUUGCAAUUAUUGGUCUUCAACGAGGAAUUCCUAGUAGACGUAGUUCAUCAGACUGCAUCGAUUACGUCCCUGCCCUUUGUACACACCGCCCGUCGCUCCUACCGAUUGAAUGCUCAGGUGAGCCAUUCGGACCUUCAUCAUGCCGGUUUCCGGUUUUGAUGAGGGAAAGUCUUGCGAACCUUAUCAUUUAGAGGAAGGAGAAGUCGUAACA